AACGAACGCUGGCGGCAUGCCUAACACAUGCAAGUCGAACGAGACCUUCGGGUCUAGUGGCGCACGGGUGCGUAACGCGUGGGAACCUGCCCUUAGGUUCGGAAUAACUCCCCGAAAGGGGUGCUAAUACCGGAUAAUUUCUUCUGACCAAAGAUUUAUCGCCUUUGGAUGGGCCCGCGUUGGAUUAGCUAGUUGGUAUGGUAAAAGCCUACAAAGGCGACGAUCCAUAGCUGGUCUGAGAGGAUGAUCAGCCACACUGGGACUGAGACACGGCCCAGACUCCUACGGGAGGCAGCAGGGGGGAAUAUUGGACAAUGGGCGAAAGCCUGAUCCAGCAAUGCCGCGUGAGUGAUGAAGGCCUUAGGGUUGUAAAGCUCUUUUACCCGGGAUGAUAAUGACAGUACCGGGAGAAUAAACUCCGGCUAACUCCGU
rnacentral:rRNA from 1 species